rnacentral:rRNA from 1 species
CCUACGGGAGGCAGCAGUGAGGAAUAUUGGUCAAUGGUCGGGAGACUGAACCAGCCAAGCCGCGUGAGGGAGGAAGGUACAGAGUAUCGUAAACCUCUUUUGUCAGGGAACAAAGGCGGGGACGUGUCCCCGGAUGAGUGUACCUGAAGCAAAAGCAUCGGCUAACUCCGUGCCAGCAGCCGCGGUAAUACGGAGGAUGCGAGCGUUAUCCGGAUUUAUUGGGUUUAAAGGGUGCGCAGGCGGUCUGUUAUGUCAGCGGUAAAAGCCCGGGGCUCAACCCCGGCCCGCCGUUGAAACUGGCAGUCUCGAGUUGGAGAGAGGUAGGCGGAAUGCGCGGUGUAGCGGUGAAAUGCAUAGAUAUCGCGCAAAACUCCGAUUGCGAAGGCAGCAUGCCGGAUCCACACUGACGCUGAGGCACGAAAGCGUGGGUAUCGAACAGGAUUAGAUACCCGUGUAGUC